rnacentral:tRNA from 1 species
GGGGUUGUUGCUCAGUGGUAAAGCACUUGCCUAGCAUGUAUGAGGCACUGGGUUCGAUUCUCAGCACCACA